rnacentral:rRNA from 1 species
AUUGUUCUCUGCAACUCGAGAACAUGAAGUUGGAAUCGCUAGUAAUCGCGGAUCAGCAUGCCGCGGUGAAUACGUUCCCGGGUCUUGUACACACCGCCCGUCACGCCAUGGGAGUUGGUUCUGCCUGACGGCGUUGAGGUAACCCGCAAGGGAGCCUGGCGACCACGGUAGGGUCAGCGACUGGGGCGAAGUCGUAACAAGGUAUC